rnacentral:lncRNA from 1 species
AGAAAAUAUCAACGACAACAAAAUACUAUUCAUUGGUCAAAAAAUUGAAAAUGUGUACAUUUUUAAAAUUGACGAUGUUGCAUCAUUGGAUGGAACUUGUCUUGCGGUCAUGAAUGAUAAUAGUUGGCUAUGACAUAAAAGAUGCUUACACGAACCUUAUUCAAUCUUUUCGGAAAGGAAUUAGUUUUGGCCUUCCCAAAAAUUCUUUUGAGAAAGAUUGAUUGUGUGGAGCAUAUCAACAAGAAAACAAACCAAAAUAUCAUUUAAAUCUAAAAAUAUUGUUUUCACCUCCAGGCCACUAUAACUUCUUCAUAUGGAUUUAGUUCGCCCUUCUAGGACGAUAAGUCUCGGUGGUCAACUAUACGUACUGUAGUCAUUGAUGAUUUCUCAAGAUUUACUUGGGUAAUGUUUCUAGCUCAUAAAGAGGAAGCAUUUCCUUUAUUUUCAAAAUUAUGCUGUCAACUUCAAAAUGAUAAGAGAUUUUCUAUUUCAAACAUAAGAGCCGAUCAUGAUAGAGAACUAGAAAAUGAAUUCUAUGCAAAAUUUUGUGAUGAACAAGGUAUAAGACAGAACUUCUCGGCUCCUAGAACUCCUCAACAAAAUAAAGUUGUUGAGAGGGAAAAUAGGACUCCAAAAGAGGUGGCUAGGACCAUGCUUUGUGAAAAUUCUCUUCUAAAAUAUUUUUAGGCUGAAGAUGUGAAUACCGCAUGCUUCAUCAUUAAUCGUGCCAUGAUUAGACCAAUUUUAAAGAAACCCCCUAUGAAUUAUGGAAAGGAAGAAAACCCAAUGUAAGCUUUUUUUUUUAUGCAUUUGGGUGUAAAUAUUUUGUUCAUAAUAAUGACAAAGAUAACUUAGGCAAAUUUGAUUCAAAAUUGGAUGCAAUUAUCUUUUUAGGAUAUUCAACUACAAGCAAAACAUUUCAAAUUUUUAAUAAACGUACUCUAUAGUUGACGAAUAGUUCAUGUUGCUUUUGAUGAAUCUAAUGAAAUUUUCUUCAAGAAUUUUCUAGAAGUAGUAUGCAGGGAUUGAAGAAAUUAUGAAAAAACUUAAAAUUGCCAACAAAUGAGGAUCUCAAGAAGGAACUUUUUUAGAAAGACUUCAACUAGAGGUGAUUUUAACCUAAUUAGAACACAAGAGCAGGUAGUGACCACUCCAAACUUCCAAAAGAAUGGAAGUUCAUCCCCACAACUACCCAACUAACUCAUCAUUGGGCAUCAAUCAAAAGGGGUAACCCUAGACAAUUCUAUUAGAAAAUAUUCGUGGUAAAUUACAUUUUUUCUCAAAUAGAUCUAAAAUUUUCAUGAAGCCAGAAUUCGAUCAAAUAUGUACUUAUUAGCAUGCAAUAAGACUUCAAUCAUUUGAAAGAAGUAAGUUUUGGACCUUAAGUACCUAGACCUAAUGAAUCAUCUAUAAAGUACCUAAAAUGCAUAUUUAGAAACAAGAUAGAUGAUCUAGAAUCAUUGUAUGAAUAAAACUAGACUUGUUGCCCAAUGAUAUAGUCCAAGGGAUGAAUUUGAUAAAUCAUUUGCCCCCGUAGCAUGAUUAGAAGUCAUUAGAAUGUUGCUUGCAUUUGCAUGCUACCUGAAUUUUAAACUCUAUCUAAUAGAUGUUACAAUGUCAUUUUUUAAAUAGACACAUAAUGAAGGAGGUACGUUCACAACCUUUUCGGGUUUGAAAUCAAUGUUUUUCAAACUGUGUUUAAUUAUCCCGAAACACUUGAUGGUUUGAAGCACGUACCAGAAGCCUAAUAUUGAAUAGGCAAGCAAUUCUUGAAUAUGCAUGGUUUUAAAUUGAAAAAUAUAUAAUCUCUCUUUUAUCAAAACAAAAAUUCACAUGCUCAUUAUACAAAUAGAUGUGGAUAUCUCAUAUUUGGUGCAAUUUAAUGAAAUAUGUGGCAAAGUUUUUUCUAAAUGGUAUGCAAGGCAAAUUUUAUAUGAGCAUGAUGGGCGAGCUCAUUUCUUUCUUGGAAUUAUAAAUUAAGCAAUCAAGCUAGGGAACAUUCAUAAAUCAAGCUAAAUAUACAAAGGAACUUCUCAAAAGAUUUGGCAUGAUAGGAACAAAGUACUUAGUCACUCCAAUGAACACAUCAAUAAAACUCGACAAAGAUAAAAAUAGUAAAAAUGUUGAUGAAAAGAUCUAUUAAGGUAUGAUUGGCUCCUUACUCCACUUAUAGACAAGUAGGCCAGAUAACAUGUUUAGUAGGGCUGUCCUUCGAUCGGGUUUGGUUGGGUUAGGGUCGGGUCCUACUCGACCCGACAAAAGUCGGGUUGAGAAAAUACUCACCCGAACCCGACCGAUUAUAUAGUUGGGUCGGGUUGGGUGUAGGGUCGGGUGAAGGGUGGGUCGGUGGUCGGGGUGUAGGUCAGUUAGAUUGAUCUCUUUGCUCUGUUCAAAGACAAUUGCUAAACAUUUCUCCUUUUACAUUUUUACCCAGCCCUUGAUGAACGAGUCGUGUGUCGGAGCUUUAAUGUCCAGAAUGGCGUUCUUCAAUCCCUCCCAU